rnacentral:rRNA from 1 species
GGGUAAGUAGGUUGGUCGUGCCACCGGUACGUACUGGUCUCACUGAUUCCUCCUUCCUGAAGAACCGUAAUGCCAUUAAUUUGGUGUUGCGGGGAAACAGGACAGUUACUUUGAAAAAAUUAGAGUGUUUAAAGCAAGCUAACGCUUGAAUACAUUAGCAUGGAAUAAUGAAAUAGGACGAUCGAUCCUAUUUUGUUGUUUUCUAGGAUUGACUUA